UAAGAAAAGACAUGAAAGGUCUGGGUGCGGUGGCUCACACCUGUAAUCCCAGCAUUUUGGGAGGCCAAGAUGAGUGGAUCACCUGAGGUCAGGAGUUUGAGACCAGCCUGGCCAACAUGGUGAAACCCUGUCUCUACUGAAAAUACAAAAAAAAUUAGCCCGGCAUGGGCUGGGUGCAGUGCCUCACACCUGUAAUCCCAGGCCGAGGCGGGCGGAUCACGAGGUCA
rnacentral:lncRNA from 1 species